UACAUACUCCCUCCGUUCCAAAUUACUUGUUGCAGAAUUGAAUAUAUCUAGAUGCAUUUUAGUUCUAGAUACAUCCAUUUAUGCGACGAGUAAUUUAGAAUGGCGGGAGUACGUA
rnacentral:pre_miRNA from 1 species